CAGCAUAUAGACUGCUGAAUUAUUCAUGUGCCCAGCCAAGGCUGUGACUGGACUGGUUGUGCUAUUUGCAUGCAUCAGACAUGCUAUUUGUCUGUUUGCUAACAUUCCUCAUUCAAAGACAUGUUAACUAGCAGACAGGCUUAGCUAGAGCCUUGCAGACAGCCUCAUGGCCUCCUAUUGUUUCAGGCCUCACCAGGACUGGACCCAGCUGGUGGCAGGCGAGCCGUGCUUCCCUGAGCUUGGGGCUCAGACUAUGGCUGAAGGAGGGAGUGAGCCUGGAGCUGUGAUUGAGUCUGGGGUUCAGACUGGAGCUGGAGCUGGGGCACAGGCACGGCUGUGAGGGGGACAGUCUGAGGGAAAUCACUGGAUCUUGCAGGCACCACCAAACGGGAGCUUAUGGCUUUCUCCUCUUCUUGACAGAGAUGUGGAUCAAAGCAGGAAAAGCUGCUGAAUUUCACAACCAGACCGGACAUUUACCACCGUUGCUCUGAAAAAUGGGCAGCACAUUGGAUUGUAACUUCAGCCACAUGAACAGACAAUUUGGCCAACAAGUGAAAUCAUGGACAGACAGACUGGCGGAUUCAGCAUUAGGUAACAGAUUUUCCCUCAUGGGGAUUUUCAGAUGGAGGCUACCUGACAUGCUGUUGAAACUGUGAUGGAAGGAAGAGGCGAUAGGCCAGUGCCCC